AAGUCGUAACAAGGUUUCCGUAGGUGAACCUGCGGAAGGAUUAUUAACACGUAUCCAAACGUUAAAACCCCCCCCGUGAACCUUCAUCCUGCUCUUGUAACCCGCGUAGUUCGCAAUCUCGGAUAAAUCAUAGCCCGGAAAGUUGUAGUGAUUCAGAGACUACGUGCGAACAAAGGAACAGUUACAAUCGAGCGGUAGUUCUAUCGGAAAGUGUCAUUGAUUGUGCAAGGAUAGCGCUUCUACGAUUCUUGUAGACCGUACACUCGGGCAGGAGCUUUGCCAAAGGGUCCCCAUGCCGCCUAAUAACCCCACAGUUUAAUGUGAAGCUCAAUGUAAUACAUUGGGGAAAAAAACCGAACCACUGUUAACAAUGGAUAUCUUGGUUCUC
rnacentral:misc_RNA from 1 species